rnacentral:tRNA from 3 species
GCGUGGGUAGCCAAGCUAGGCCAACGGCGCAGCGUUGAGGGCGCUGUCCUGUAGAGGUCCAAGAGUUCAAAUCUCUUCCCACGCA